rnacentral:rRNA from 1 species
UACAGAGGUCUCAAGCGUUGUUCGGAUUCAUUGGGCGUAAAGGGAGCGUAGGUGGCGGGGUUAGUCAGGUGUGAAAUCUCGGGGCUCAACCCCGAAACUGCACUUGAUACUGCCUUGCUAGAGUACUGGAGAGGAGACUGGAAUUUACGGUGUAGCGGUGAAAUGCGUAGAUAUCGUAAGGAAGACCAGUGGCGAAGGCGGGUCUCUGGACAGUUCCUGACGCUGAGGCACGAAGGUCAGGGGAGCAAACGGG